AUGUUGAGAGCUGCUGCCCCACAAACUUCACCCACAGCAACCAUGACUUUGGUCUCCAUCUUCAUCUGGACGCUCACCUUCUUGACUCAAGGAUCCUGUGGUCAGGUGACUGUGACUCAGACUCCUGCAGUGAAAACUGUUUCUCCAGGAGACUCAGUUACCAUCAGCUGUAGAACCAGCAUCAGUGUACCAACUUGUUCAGGUGGUCCUUGUUUAGCCUGGUAUCAGCAGAAACCUGGAGAAGCUCCUAAACUCCUGAUCUACUACGCUACCAGUAGACAGUCAGGUAUUCCAGCUCGUUUCAGUGGAAGUGGAUCUGGAUCUGACUUCACUCUGACCAUCAGUAAUGUCCAGACUGAAGAUGCAGGAGAUUAUUACUGUCAGAGUUAUCAUUAUAUCAGUAGCACAAACCUGUUCCCACAGUGUUUAGUAGGUGUACAAAAACCCCCCUCAGUCCAGCUGCACAGAGACUUCACUCUCACACUCAUCAGUUUUUAGUAGGAGAUCAUAUUCAGAGUGCAGAACUUCCCCAGAGUCUAACUGGACCUGAUGGACACAGUGGUCAGCAGCAGCUGGUGUGCUGUUGAAGUGAUCCACUAUGGAGUCUGACUCCGAGGUCAAAGAUGUUCCCAAUCUAAAAACAGCAUAAAUGUUGUGACUGGCAGCGCUGUUACUGACCAGCCUGACCACCCAGCCCUCUACACACUGAGCUCCACCAGCUCAGAGGACUGUAUGCUGUGCACUUCAUCUCUGGCUAAGCCUUAUUUCUAGUAUAUGUAAAUAUUUAUACUGU